rnacentral:lncRNA from 1 species
AGAGACGUGGGAGCCGAUGAAGGUCGCACGCCAGCCUCCCACCUGUGAGACAAAGGGCCCUGUCACUGGAAGCCACGUCCAGCCUGGCCCCGCAGGAGCCAGGGCUCUGCGCCUAACGGAGGACUGAUGGGAAAGGGAAGGCUGGCAGCAGUGAGGGGCCAAUCAUCUGAAUCACGUUCCUGUAUUCAGGAUUUGCCCCUCCAAAACAGUUUUGAUGGGAGACACCAGCCACCUACUAUUAUGCAGCCAUGCACCACAUAACGACGUUUCAGGCAACAAUGACUGCACAUACCACAGUGGUCCCGUAAAAUUACAAUGGAGCUGAAAAAUUCCUAUUGCCUAGUGACGUCACAGCCAUUGUAAGGUCAGAGUGCAACACAUCACUCAUGUGUUUGUGUUGAUGCUGCUGUAAACAAACCUACCGCACUGCCAGUCAUAUAAAAGUAUAGCCCAUACAAUUAUGUGUAGUACUUAAUACUUAAUAAUAAUAAACAACUAUGUUGCUGGUUUACG